ACGAACGCUGGCGGCGUGCUUAACACCUGCCAGUCGCACGGAAAGGCCCUGCUUUUGUGGGGUGCUCGAGUGGCGAACGGGUGAGUAACACGUGAGUAACCUGCCCUUGACUUUGGGAUAACUUCAGGAAACUGGGGCUAAUACCGGAUAGGAGCUCCUGCUGCAUGGUGGGGGUUGGAAAGUUUCGGCGGUUGGGGAUGGACUCGCGGCUUAUCAGCUUGUUGGUGGGGUAGUGGCUUACCAAGGCUUUGACGGGUAGCCGGCCUGAGAGGGUGACCGGCCACAUUGGGACUGAGAUACGGCCCAGACUCCUACGGGAGGCAGCAGUGGGGAAUAUUGCACAAUGGGCGGAAGCCUGAUGCAGCAACGCCGCGUGCGGGAUGAAGGCCUUCGGGUUGUAAACCGCUUUCGCCUGUGACGAAGCGUGAGUGACGGUAAUGGGUAAAGAAGCACCGGCUAACUACGUG
rnacentral:rRNA from 1 species